rnacentral:rRNA from 1 species
AAAUUGAAGAGUUUGAUCAUGGCUCAGAUUGAACGCUGGCGGCAGGCCUAACACAUGCAAGUCGAACGGUAACAGGAAGCAGCUUGCUGCUUUGCUGACGAGUGGCGGACGGGUGAGUAAUGUCUGGGAAACUGCCUGAUGGAGGGGGAUAACUACUGGAAACGGUGGCUAAUACCGCAUAACGUCGCAAGACCAAAGAGGGGGACCUUCGGGCCUCUUGCCAUCAGAUGUGCCCAGAUGGGAUUAGCUAGUUGGUGAGGUAACGGCUCACCAAGGCGACGAUCCCUAGCUGGUCUGAGAGGAUGACCAGCCACACUGGAACUGAGACACGGUCCAGACUCCUACGGGAGGCAGCAGUGGGGAAUAUUGCACAAUGGGCGCAAGCCUGAUGCAGCCAUGCCGCGUGUAUGAAGAAGGCCUUCGGGUUGUAAAGUACUUUCAGCGGGGAGGAAGGUGUUGUGGUUAAUAACCGCAGCAAUUGACGUUACCCGCAGAAGAAGCACCGGCUAACUCCGUGCCAGCAGCCGCGGUAAUACGGAGGGUGCAAGCGUUAAUCGGAAUUACUGGGCGUAAAGCGCACGCAGGCGGUCUGUCAAGUCGGAUGUGAAAUCCCCGGGCUCAACCUGGGAACUGCAUUCGAAACUGGCAGGCUUGAGUCUUGUAGAGGGGGGUAGAAUUCCAGGUGUAGCGGUGAAAUGCGUAGAGAUCUGGAGGAAUACCGGUGGCGAAGGCGGCCCCCUGGACAAAGACUGACGCUCAGGUGCGAAAGCGUGGGGAGCAAACAGGAUUAGAUACCCUGGUAGUCCACGCCGUAAACGAUGUCUACUUGGAGGUUGUGCCCUUGAGGCGUGGCUUCCGGAGCUAACGCGUUAAGUAGACCGCCUGGGGAGUACGGCCGCAAGGUUAAAACUCAAAUGAAUUGACGGGGGCCCGCACAAGCGGUGGAGCAUGUGGUUUAAUUCGAUGCAACGCGAAGAACCUUACCUGGUCUUGACAUCCACGGAAGUUUUCAGAGAUGGAAUUGUGCCUUCGGGAACCGUGAGACAGGUGCUGCAUGGCUGUCGUCAGCUCGUGUUGUGAAAUGUUGGGUUAAGUCCCGCAACGAGCGCAACCCUUAUCCUUUGUUGCCAGCGGUCCGGCCGGGAACUCAAAGGAGACUGCCAGUGAUAAACUGGAGGAAGGUGGGGAUGACGUCAAGUCAUCAUGGCCCUUACGACCAGGGCUACACACGUGCUACAAUGGCGCAUACAAAGAGAAGCGACCUCGCGAGAGCAAGCGGACCUCAUAAAGUGCGUCGUAGUCCGGAUUGGAGUCUGCAACUCGACUCCAUGAAGUCGGAAUCGCUAGUAAUCGUGGAUCAGAAUGCCACGGUGAAUACGUUCCCGGGCCUUGUACACACCGCCCGUCACACCAUGGGAGUGGGUUGCAAAAGAAGUAGGUAGCUUAACCUUCGGGAGGGCGCUUACCACUUUGUGAUUCAUGACUGGGGUGAAGUCGUAACAAGGUAACCGUAGGGGAACCUGCGGUUGGAUCACCUCCUUACCUUAAAGAAGC